CCAGCAGACGUUGAUCUGCUCCUCGUGUCUCUGCUCUCCCCUCCAGCCGGCCCCGCGGUCCCACCCUCAGUCUCUCUGCUGCCCCCCUCCUCUGAGCAGCUCUCUGGGGGCUCGGCCACGCUGCUCUGCCUGCUGAGCGGCUACUCUCCUCAGGGAGCCCAGGUGAGCUGGGAGGUGGACGGCACGGCGGUGACAGACGGGGUCCGGAGCAGCUCGGAGGAGGAGAAGAGCGGACGCUACGGCAGCAGCAGCACCUUAAGCCUGAGCCAGGAGAAGUGGAUGAAAGGAGAGCAGUACUCCUGCAGGGUGGCCCAUCAGGGCCACAGCCAGGUCCAGAGCAUCCGGAGGAGCCAGUGUGAGGGCCAGAGAGGCUGAAUGAGGCCCAGAGCAGGAGCUCUUAGUGGGAGAGCAGCAGGAGAAACACCUGCUGCUCUCAGCAACAGGAGUCUGGAUGAAGGCAAACUAAAGCUUGUGUGACGCUCAACUAAACCGCUGAGAAACGUUCAACAACUUAGACUAAUGUGUGAAGCUCAGCAGCUGGAUGUGAGUGGGAUUCAUUUGCUGUGUGUUUUAAUAAAGCUUGCUCUGAUACAUUAUAA